GACAGAGGGUGCAAACGUUGUUCGGAAUUACGGGGCGUAAAGCGAGUGUAGGCGGUUUGGUAAGUCGGAUGUGAAAGCCCCCGGGCUCAACCCGGGAAGUGCACUCGAUACUGCCAAGCUAGAGUAUCGGAGAGGUUGGUGGAAUUCUCGGUGUAGAGGUGAAAUUCGUAGAUAUCGAGAGGAACACCGGUGGCGAAGGCGGCCAUCUGGACGGAUACUGACGCUGAGAACGCGAAAGCGUGGGUAGCAAACAGG
rnacentral:rRNA from 1 species